AGGGCUAUAGCUCAGCAUGGUAGAGCACCUCGUUUACACACCGAGAAGGUCUACGGUUCGAGCCCGUAUAGCCCUA
rnacentral:tRNA from 3 species